rnacentral:rRNA from 1 species
UACGUAGGGACCAAGCGUUGUUCGGAUUUACUGGGCGUAAAGGGCGCGUAGGCGGCAAUUCAAGUCAUCUGUGAAAUCUCUGGGCUUAACCCAGAACGGUCAGCUGAUACUGCGGGGCUAGAGUGCAGAAGGGGCAACUGGAAUUCUCGGUGUAGCGGUGAAAUGCGUAGAUAUCGAGAGGAACACCUGCGGCGAAGGCGGGUUGCUGGGCUGACACUGACGCUGAGGCGCGAAGGCUAGGGUAGCAAACAGG